CCGUACACACUUCAAUCUGUCCCACAUUUUAUAAAAUCCGAAUGGUUUUUUUAGGUUGUGUGUACACGACUUACACCGCGAGAAAUUCGGAAUCGUGAGGGUUUGUGCACUAAUGAGGUGCCCAUUAACUGUUGAACCAGUGCGUGAAAUUAAUGUAUACACGCCUGUGGACUUAAGCUCAAUGCUGCGAGCCGUAUGUGCAAUCCCAAGUGGAUUGGAGAGCUGGAGCAAUGCCCCUGGUUCUGGAUAUCUGGUGUGGAUAUCGUCUGUGCCAACGGAUCUUGUAUCAAUUUGUCUUAGAAGCUGGCUUUUAUUUGCCAGCUUUGUUUCGGGUUGGCUAAAUAAAUUUGAGAUGUCUGGAGCUAGCCAAUUGCAGAUGCAAACGCGUUAUAAUACGAUCAUUAGUGAGGCAAAGCAAUGAAAGCGGGGGGGAAACACAAAGAAACCGGAUUCGAAGACUCUUCUCCGGUUCUGUGUUACUUCUACUUCAAGUGUUAUCAUCAUCGCAGCAGAGUUGAAAUAAAUACUUGUGUACGAAAAA